rnacentral:piRNA from 1 species
UGCCAGUGUGCUCACACGUGACCUUGGG